rnacentral:rRNA from 1 species
UACGUAGGUGGCAAGCGUUGUCCGGAUUUACUGGGCGUAAAGGGUGCGUAGGCGGCGCGGUAAGUCGGGUGUGAAAUCUCGGGGCUUAACUCCGAAACUGCAUUCGAUACUGCCGUGCUUGAGGACUGGAAAGGAGACUGGAAUUUACGGUGUAGCGGUGAAAUGCGUAGAUAUCGUAAGGAAGACCAGUGGCGAAGGCGGGUCUCUGGACAGUUCCUGACGCUGAGGCACGAAGGUCAGGGGAGCAAACGGG